rnacentral:rRNA from 1 species
UUAGAAGUUAUUAAAAAUUCAAAAUUAGUAUUAGUUAAGUUCUUGAAAAUUAAAGAUUUUGGCGGUAUUUUAGUCUUUUCAGAGGAAUCUGUCCUGUAAUUGAUAAUCCACGAUUAAUUAAACUUUAUUUAUUAAUUUGUAUAUCGUCGUAAUAAAAUAUUUUAAAAGAAUUAAUAUUUAUUUUUUAUAAAAAUUAAAAUCAGAUCAAGGUGCAGUUUAUAAUAAAGAAGAGAUGGAUUACAAUAUAAUUUAUAUGUAGAUUAAUUAUUUAAAAUAAUUAUGAAAAUGGAUUUGAAAGUAAUUAAAUAUAUAUAUGUUUAAUGAUUUAAGCUCUAAAAUAUGU